rnacentral:misc_RNA from 1 species
AAGUCGUAACAAGGUUUCCGUAGGUGAACCUGCGGAAGGAUCAUUAUUGAAUAAACCUGAUGUGGCUGUUAGCUGGCUUUUCGAAGCAUGUGCUCGUCCGUCAUCUUUAUCUCUCCACCUGUGCACAUUUUGUAGUCUUGGAUAACUCUCGAGGCAACUCGGAUUUUAGAAUCGCCGUGCUGUACAAGUCGGCUUUCCUUUCAUUUCCAAGACUAUGUUUUUAUAUACACCAAAGUAUGUUCAAAGAAUGUCAUCAAUGGAAACUUGUUUCCUAUAAAAUUAUACAACUUUCAGCAACGGAUCUCUUGGCUCUC